CCCAAGAAUCUAGACCAAUUACUUCUGUCCAGACGGUCGACCAGGACAGACACAGCCAGAACAGAUAAGUACCAGUACAGUGAAGAUCACCCGUCCACAAAAACUCUGACUUUUCUGUACUAUACAGUGGAAUAAAGUCGUCCCUUAACUCUACGCGUAUUAUUUGACUCACCAAACAUCUCAGACACAGGACCACAUCCAACGCUUGGAAUGUGCGUCAACAUUUUUGGUCCUUCGAGCACCGAAUGUGUCGGGAUCGUUUUGGUGAAGGGCAGUAGAGUUGCGCGUUGAUGGAGUUCCGCGAAGAAAGUCCCGUCCAGAAGAUGGCUAGCAUCGCCAUUCUAUCCGUCUAGUUCUGUUCUGUCCAGUACCGUCAAGUUUCUCAGCCAAUUUCCGUCCAAACCUGUUUGUAUCGUCCUGUGAGCUGAAAGCAUAAACAUUGGCUGAAGCAAAACUGUAGUUUGCGGAGGUGGAAACUUCCCGAUUUUCACAGCUGAGAAUCCCAUCAGAAGAUCCGCCAUUCCUAACCGAAGAAGCUCCAUUGUGUCCAGUACCAGUCCAGAAGUUCAAUUCCGCCAUAGUGAUAUGGCCACUACGCAACAAUAAUCCCGUGAACUUGACCGCUAACCGAACAAAACCCGUCGAAAACCGUAAAACAAUUCCGUUCCAUUCACGAGCAAAACAAAACCGUCUAAAAAACUGAAACGUCAGUAGAACCAGAGAGAAGGGAAAUACUCUUUGGUAGAACUAUCAGUGCGCUACAACUUUCGGAGAUUGUGCGAAGAAGGUGUGACUUUUCGGAGAACGAAUCUGCAGAAAGUGUUUCGAAAAGUCUGCAAAAACCGAUUGUUCGUGAGAAGAAAAGUGUCGUGGAAAAUUCGUGAUGGAGAAAACGCCAUGUUGUGGAGAAGAAAAUGGCGUCUUGUGAUUUACUUGCCAACCAUUGUUUGGCACACGAGUUUCCGCACAUAUGAACAAUUUCCGGGACAAACUGUGCGCAGAAGUUUGUAGUGCGAUACCUUUCCUGUCACAAUUCGAGAAACUACCCUAGUUCCAAAGACUUUUGUUCGAUCUCGUCAACCUUGCAAGUGUAGAUCGUGUAGACGAACCUUGCAUUCGGAGAGCAGUGAGACGGGAAAGUGAGCAAGAAGUGAGAAGUGAGAUCGGCAAAACGUAAACAUUGGAAGAUGAAGAAAAUGCAGUUCGGUCGUCGCUGCAUUCGUUCGGGCGGUUCGCGAAGGAAGAAAAGUGCCAGUUUUCCGCGAAACUGCAACCGUGCAGUUUGAUACGACCGUCAAGGAACGUUUUCGGUCCGUGUGUGGUGCUUGGCUGAAGAAAGCCACAAAGAAAAUUGUUUUUGAGGUGCGAUCCGCACCAUCCGUCUUUGUGGAGCGACAAGAUUGAAGAACGGUGCACUUGGUGCAUCGCGCGGUCGCUGAAAAAUUUUCUGUCCGUAGCAGAGUUUGAAGAGGACCGUAAGAAGCUGCAGUGGACGUGUAAACGACCAGAAGGAAGCUGGUUGUGAAAAAGUCGGUGUUUCAACAUCAUCGGUGUGCCAGCAGUGCACACACAAUCACACGCACACCCAGCUGCAGUUAGGGUUCUGCAAGCAGCAGAAAGUGUCAGUGGCGUCGUAGGGGCGCUUUGCGUGUGCGCAUUCGUUGCGAACGAGUGCGGUUUGGAUGCAGCUGAGGAUCGGUGCCGUGUUGCGGUGCAGUAUGCAGACCAGAGGCGCCGCGAGGGCGCUGAGACAUGCAGAAAGAACAACGGCGAGUUGCGGCAAAUCGUUGCAGUUCCGGAUCGGCGAUCGACACCAGCCAGCCGGUCGAGUCAGCGCGUCAAAUGCUGACAGGAGGAUCCAGCUUAAAGUCUCAGGGGUGGCGCGUUCGUGGUCGGACGGGCCAAAACAGCCCCCACCACCAACCUGAGUUAAGUUCGGUGUUGCUGGAUUUCUCGCCUGCUCAGCGUAGAAGUGCAACGAGCGUUCUUCAAGUUGCACCUGCUCAUCUAUCUGUCAUCUGAAGACAUCACGGCUGACCCACCGUCCCGGUCAGCACAGCGUUCGAGACCAAGUGUUCGAGGUUCCAGAACUUGGCCUUAGGGGCAGCGCCGCAAGACAGGACGGGUCUUAGCUGCUGCCCCACCGCCAUCCUAAGUUAAGUAGAUCUUUUGUUUUGAACUCAACCAGUCGCUUAGCGCUUUCUACUUAGGUUUGGCGUGGUUGGAACCAACGAUUGUAGGCGAACUCUUUCGCCAUUGACGAUCUUGUCGUUUACGGGCGGCCAUCCGAGACCUCGCAGUUGGACGGACUGCUUGAGAUGAUUCAAAGUCUCGCGAGUCGGACGGACUCGCGAUAUGCCGUUUUUGAUCUGUGCUGCCUGCGCAGAAGUGUCAACGAACUUCAACAGUCGGACGGACUGUCGGAGUCACCUGUCAUCGUGUUGUUAAACGCGGCGAGCGUCACCAGAGAAUCAGUUGGGUGUUGAGCCAGUAUCGAGUACGCACAACCAGUAUCGAGUACGCCGCAGGCCAGUGGGCCUCCCGUACGGCUGACAGACGACGUCGGUCUCCUUGUACCUGUCGUAAGCUUCCUGUUUAGAAUCUCCUCCGGGGAAGGAGAUGGAUUCGUGAUCCAGUAGACUUGUCCACCUUGGUUAAGAUUCCGUUUGGACCACCUUCGUGGUGGUAAUGCUGUCGUUUUAGUUCGUCGUUCAGUGGAAUUUCCUGUUCGUUUUGGUCCACCACCCGGUGGAAUCCCGUUUGGUCCACUUUGCGAUGAAAUUUCCGUUUGGUCCGCCUCUGUGGAAAUCCUGUUUGGUCCACCAGCCGGUGGAAAUCCUGCCAUUCCUGCAUGGCUUGCAGGACAAUUUCUUCCUGUGCGUUCACAGGAGAAACUGCUUAGCGGUUGCUCAACUGGAGCAACAACCUUCACGGUCGUGUGAAGCCGUUCUGAUGAGCCUCUGUCCACCCGGACAAGGUUACCGGCCCCGUUCUUUAGCAUCAGAACAGUCGUCGAACGCAAAUUGGAACUCACGAACCCCCAUCAAGCUUACACAGUCGUUUUGAAAACCAGAUUGAUCUCUCCCACAUUCGUGAUCGACACCCAGCGGUCGGUCUCUUGACGUCACCAUCCGGUUUGCUCCGCAGGAGUGGACACUUCCGUCGAACCAUGCUGCGUGCGCAGCAGCAUCGGUUGCCAGGCCGUGAUCGGCCACCUUUCUCACUGGGCUCGCGGU